AGUGAACGCUGGCGGUAGGCCUAACACAUGCAAGUCGAACGGCAGCACAGUAAGAGCUUGCUCUUACGGGUGGCGAGUGGCGGACGGGUGAGGAAUACAUCGGAAUCUACUUUUUCGUGGGGGAUAACGUAGGGAAACUUACGCUAAUACCGCAUACGACCUACGGGUGAAAGCAGGGGAUCUUCGGACCUUGCGCGAUUGAAUGAGCCGAUGUCGUAUUAGCUAGUUGGCGGGGUAAAGGCCCACCAAGGCGACGAUCCGUAGCUGGUCUGAGAGGAUGAACAAGCAGACUGGAAGUGAGACACGGUCCAGACUCCUACGGGGGGAAGCAGUGGGGAAUAUUGGACGAUGGGCGAAAGCCUGAUCCAGCCAUACCGCGGAGGUGAAGAAGGACUUCGGGUUGUAAAGCCCUUCUGUUGGGAAAGAAAAGCAGCAGGUUAAUACCCCGCUGUUCUGACGGUACCCAAAGAAUAAGCACCGGCUAACUUCGUG
rnacentral:rRNA from 1 species